UGCAAUAAAAACAAGCACACUUUGACUCGGUUCAUUUGUAUUUUCUUCAUUUUUUAAUAGAACAAACACACUCAUGCAGUUGUAGCUCCGUUCGACAACAAGUCCCUCCCAGCCUUCACUUUCUUUCGUCCUCAAUUACAGUGAGCCUCACCUCUGCCCUCAAUACAUUUCAAUAUCAAUCGACUUCCUUCUCCAUUCUUUUGAUUUACUCCGUUGGUGUUGCCAUUUCGGCAGUUUCUUCUGCCAUGACCACAUCUUCUUCCUCAGGUAAGGUCCAUCGAUUAAUCUGGGUAUGAACUUGAAAUCAUAAAGCUUUUUUUUCCCUUCUCUUAAAUCGAUUUUGGUCUUUGAAGUUGAAAGUUUUUUCUUUUUCCUUUAUGUGUUUUUGAUCUGGAAGUUAUUAUGGAAAAAAUAUAUAUUUAUAUUUAUAAUAGGCCACCAAAGUCGACUAUCUUCAUAAUGUGGUGUCCAUCGAUUUAGUAUGUGUAUCAUUGUUUUUGUUAGAAUAUUAUUUGUUUUGUUCAAUUGUUUUAUUCUCUUUGUAUAGUAUAAUGGAUCCUUUGUAACGGGUGUGUGUAUAUACACACACGCAACCCUAAUUAAGGGGUUUCCACAUUAAUUAGCAUGGUAUUAAGCCUCCUUGCGUAUGCCUCAUAGCAAACUCACGGGGAUCAAUUUUUUCAUCGAUCGAUGUUUCUUCCACUCGAUUUUGUCAUCGUCUGUGGUCGAGUUCCAAAAUAGUAUUUUUCUUCUUUUUUUUUUUUACUGUGUUUGGCUACCUAUUAUGUCUUUGUGCCUGAUAUCCCGAUCUUUUAUUUACUAGGUCUCGCCCUCAAGACGUCGUUGAUCACUUGUUGUUCAAGAUCUCAUCACUUCCCUACAUUAGAAGUUCUACAGAUCAUUUGGUUCCUUCUGCCCAAGGUUAGCUUCUAGUCUAUUAUUUCUUGUCUCUGUUAAAUUUUAUUUUGUUGAUUUUUUCGGGGUCUAAAUGACUGGUUCCGUAGCCUCCUCUUCCGUCAUGUGUUCUAACCCUACAGCCAGUCUGUUGGUCUUUGCACUUACUAAUGUCUACUCACAGCUUAGUUUCAGUUUAUAUGUAAGCGACUCUAAAUAUAAAUUAUUGCGCGAUUUUUAAAGACAUAUGCAAAGGUGCUAAGGUACACGGACAUAUCACUGAAAACUAAGCCCCAAGGAGACGAAGAUGAAGAUUAGGUGGCCAUUGACUUUAGAAUCAAAUCUUUGUUUUCUAGUGAUGAUUGCACCUCAAAAGACCUUUGGGACAAAUUUGAUGAGUUUUUUUCUCAAUAAUAAGAUGUCUCAUAUUCUUCAACUUCAAGAAUAAUUUUGUAAUACCAAGAAAGGCUCCUCUUCCAUUACGGAGUUUUAGCAUUCUCUAAAGAAUUUGGUUGAAGCUCUUCCAGAUUGUGACUCAAAUAUUGAUGAGGUCCUAUAAUAAUAUUGUCGAUGUCAUCACCAACAUGAAACCAUUUCCAUCAUUCCUUGAAGCAAAGAAUAUGAUAUUAAUUCAUGAAACUCAUGAAGAAUCUAUUGAUCCUCUUGGUGAUGCACUUCUCACCUCCUUCUCAACUCUUUACUCAAGCUCGACCCAUGGAAAACCAAGAAAUAAGUUUAAAAAAGGCAAAAAUAAUGGAUGGGUUGCUUCCAUGGGGUAACACUAAUGUUUUUGCUAGUUCUUCUCAUUUUUCAGGUUUUCAAGGCACAAAUGGUCAAUUUCAAGCACUUUAUGAAGCUCUAACUGCUUUUUCUCCACAUUGUGAGAUAUUGUAUGUAUACCCACAUGAUAAACUUGUAAGCCUUCUAGAUCAGUUUAAGGAUUGAGAUAAAAAUGCCAUAAAGCUACGUGCUUACACUAAAUAUAAAAAAAAUAUUAAAUGAAAUAUGUCACAAAAAUUAGAAAACAAAAAAUUGAUAGAAUUAUAUAAACUGUUCGCUAUUAAUGUAAUCUGGAUUACUGAUAUUGGCUACUGGCAAGGACAAUUUACUGGAUUACACUAUAGAUGAUGUUAGAGAUUGAACUUUCAUUUGGAAACAGGCUAUUUGUUAUCUUUGUUUAUGGUUGUUAAAGAAUUAAAUCACCAAGAGUGUCCAAUAAUCUAGCUAAUUGAGGAAUUGAGCCCACUUAUUGUAAUAUAUACCUAGAAAUCAUGUAUAUACAAAACAUAAUAUAUUGUAAUGUCAAUCGACUUCCUCCUCCAUUCUUUUGAUUUCCUCCGUUGGUGUUGCCAUUUCGACAGUUUCUUCUGCCAUGACCACGUCUUCUUCCUCAGGUAAGGUCCAUCGAUUAAUCUGGGUAUGAACUUGAAAUCAUAAAGCUUUUUUUUUCCUUCUCUUAAAUCGAUUUUGGUCUUUGAAGUUGAAAGUUUUUUCUUUUUCCUUUAUGUGUUUUUGAUCAGGAAGCUAUUAUGGAAAAAAUAUAUAUUUAUAUUUACAUUAGGCCACCAAAGUCGACUAUCUUCAUAAUGUGGUGUACAUCGAUUUAGUAUGUGUAUCAUUGUUUUUGUUAGAAUAUUAUUUGUUUUGUUCAAUUGUUUUAUUCUCUUUGUAUAGUAUAAUGGAUCCUUUGUAACGGGUGUGUGUAUAUACACACACACGCAACCCUAAUUAAGGGGUUUCCACAUUAAUUAGCAUGGUAUUAAGCCUCCUUGCGUAUGCCUCAUAGCAAACUCACGGGGAUCNUCUUAAAUCGAUUUUGGUCUUUGAAGUUGAAAGUUUUUUCUUUUUCCUUUAUGUGUUUUUGAUCAGGAAGCUAUUAUGGAAAAAAUAUAUAUUUAUAUUUACAUUAGGCCACCAAAGUCGACUAUCUUCAUAAUGUGGUGUACAUCGAUUUAGUAUGUGUAUCAUUGUUUUUGUUAGAAUAUUAUUUGUUUUGUUCAAUUGUUUUAUUCUCUUUGUAUAGUAUAAUGGAUCCUUUGUAACGGGUGUGUGUAUAUACACACACACGCAACCCUAAUUAAGGGGUUUCCACAUUAAUUAGCAUGGUAUUAAGCCUCCUUGCGUAUGCCUCAUAGCAAACUCACGGGGAUCAAUUUUUUCAUCGAUCGAUGUUUCUUCCACUCGAUUUUGUCAUCGCCUGUAGUCGAGUUCCAAAAUAGUAUUUUUCUUCUUUUUUUUACUGUGUUUGGCUACCUAUUAUGUCUCUGUGCCUGAUAUCCCGAUCUUUUAUUUACUAGGUCUCGCCCUCAAGACGUCGUUGAUCACUUGUUGUUCAAGAUCUCAUCACUUCCCUACAUUAGAAGUUCUACAGAUCAUUUGGUUCCUUC
rnacentral:lncRNA from 1 species